rnacentral:rRNA from 1 species
UACGGGGGGAGCAAGCGUUGUUCGGAUUUACUGGGCGUAAAGGGCGCGUAGGCGGUCAGCACAAGUCAGUUGUGAAAUCUCCGGGCUUAACUCGGAAAGGUCAACUGAUACUGUGCGACUAGAGUGCGGAAGGGGCAACUGGAAUUCUCGGUGUAGCGGUGAAAUGCGUAGAUAUCGAGAGGAACACCUGCGGCGAAGGCGGGUUGCUGGGCCGACACUGACGCUGAUGCGCGAAGCCAGGGGAGCGAACGGG